GCAGCUUAGGUGGAAGGCUGAGAAAGGCAAUUCCGGUUGUCUGGAGCCAUCAGUGAGAUACCACUCUGGGAGAGCUAGGAGUCUAAUGGCGUUCCUUGAAUCAGGACGCUUGACAGUUUCAGGUGGGCAGUUUUACUGGGGCGGUAGCCUCCUAAAAGGUAACGGAGGCGUGCAAAGAUUCCCUCAGGCUGGACGGAAAUCAGCCAUAGAGUGUAAAGGCAGAAGGGAGCUUGACUGCAAGACCUACAAGUCGAGCAGGGACGAAAGUCGGCCUUAGUGAUCCGACGGUGCCGUGUGGAAGGGCCGUCGCUCAACGGAUAAAAGUUACUCUAGGGAUAACA
rnacentral:rRNA from 1 species